AAGGCGUCGGCUGGAUGGUCAGAGAUGCAGUGCAGAGACCCACACCCUCACAGAGCAGAGGAGCAUUUAUGGCCAGAGACAUCACAUUCACCCUCGAAUACAGUUUUACUGAAGAUUCAUUCUGUUUUUAAUCACAACAGAGCUGGGCAGAAUACAUGGGGCAACCGCUCCGAGCCAGUGGACAGCAGACCAUAGAAGACCAAGAUCUCUGAGAGGAGGGAGGAACCAGAAGGGUCAUCUUCGUCAACAGCAGCCACAAAAGAGAAGAAGGAAAAAGGAAAGGAAAAAAUAACCAGUACUCAUGUUAACAUUUGUCCUUGACUUCUCUGGAAAUAGAAU